rnacentral:tRNA from 1 species
GGUAAAAUGGCUGAAUUUAGGCAAUAAACUGUAAAUUUAUUUAUGAAAAAUAUUUCUUUUAUCA